AGAAAACUUGGUUCUAGUUUCCUUUUUAGUUUUUUUCCGUCUGCCACAUGCAAGAAAAAAGCAACCCAGCGGAUAAAUCGCUCUCCUCUAACCAGCAGAGCGCUCAGCAUAAGUUAUUAACAAAAAGCCACUAACACCCGCGGCCAGCAGUGCUUAACAUUGUACAAUUUAAGAAAUUAAGAUACAGACAGGAAAAACAGAAGAGGCCCAUACCGUGCCAGCAGCCGCGGUUACACGCUACCUUCAAGUUAAAAAAUCCGGUGAAAAGAAGGGAAGGCCCAACAUAAACCAAUUGUAAGAAAACCUAAUAGCAGUAGUAAGCAGAGACAAAAUAAAAACAACAGACAAGCCCACCCAACAAGGAAAGAAAUAAACUAGGAUUAGAUACCCUACUAUACUUUUCCCACACGCAAAACCACCAGAGCAGUACGGCCAAGCUAAAACUUAAAGAACUUGGCGGUUUUCUAGACCUCCUUGGAGGAGCUUGUCAUCGAAUUGAUAACCCCCAAGAUACCUCACCUGUUUAAGAAUCCCAGCCUGUAUACCAUCGUCGUCAGCUCACCUCAGGAAAGAGUGAGCAAAAUGGAGUACACCCCCAACGUCAGAUCAAGGUGCAGCCAAUAAACAGGGGAUAGAUGAGCUACCUUACUUCAAAAACAGAGGAUGCGGAAAUGAAAAACCCACUGAAAAAGGAUUCAACAGUAACAAAAUAAAUAAAAAUUUCGUAAAGCAAGCUCUAGAAUGCGCACACAUCGCCCGUCACUCUCCUCUAACGAGGAGAAAAGUCGUAACAUAGUAGGUGUACCGGAAGGUGCCACCUGGCCCAAU
rnacentral:ncRNA from 1 species